rnacentral:rRNA from 1 species
AACGAACGCUGGCGGCGCGCCUAACACAUGCAAGUCGAACGAGAAGCUGUAGCAAUACAGUUGUACAGUGGCGAACGGGUGAGGAAUACAUGGGUGACCUACCCUCGAGUGGGGAAUAACCAGCCGAAAGGUUGGCUAAUACCGCGUACGUUUCCCAGUCUGCGGAUUGGGAAGGAAAGCGAUGCCGUGGGUAUCGCGCUCAAGGUUGGGCUCAUGUCCUAUCAGCUUGNGGUGAGGUAACGGCUCACCAAGGCAACGACGGGUGGCUGGUCUGAGAGGACGAUCAGCCACACUGGCACUGGCGACACGGGCCAGACUCCUACGGGGAGGCAGCAGUGAGGAAUAUUGCGCAAUGGG